rnacentral:rRNA from 1 species
UACGGAAGGCAGCAGUGGGGAAUAUUGCACAAUGGGCGCAAGCCUGAUGCAGCCAUGCCGCGUGUAUGAAGAAGGCCUUCGGGUUGUAAAGUACUUUCAGUCGUGAGGAAGGUGUUAAGGUUAAUAACCUUAGCAAUUGACGUUAGCGACAGAAGAAGCACCGGCUAACUCCGUGCCAGCAGCCGCGGUAAUACGGAGGGUGCGAGCGUUAAUCGGAAUUACUGGGCGUAAAGGGCACGCAGGCGGUUAAUUAAGUUGGAUGUGAAAUCCCCGGGCUUAACCUGGGAAUGGCAUUCAAGACUGGUUAGCUAGAGUCUUGUAGAGGGGGUAGAAUUCCAUGUGUAGCGGUGAAAUGCGUAGAGAUGUGGAGGAAUACCGGUGGCGAAGGCGGCUCCCUGGGACAAAGACUGACGCUCAUGUGCGAAAGCGUGGGGAGCAAACGAGGAUUAGGAUACC